AUUGAACGCUGGCGGCAGGCCUAACACAUGCAAGUCGAGCGGAUUAAGGGAUCUUGCUCCUGGUUUCAGCGGCGGACGGGUGAGUAAUGCCUAGGAAUCUGCCUUGUAGUGGGGGAUAACGUCCGGAAACUGUCGCUAAUACCGCAUACGUCCUUAGGGGGAAAGUGUUAGAUCUUCGGACCUCACGCUAUCAUAUUAGCCUAGGUCGUAUUAUCUAGUUUGUGGGGUAAAGGCCUACCAAGGCGACGAUCCGUAACUGGUAUGAGAGGAUGAUCAGUCACCCUGGAAGUGAGAAAGGGUAGAGACUCCUACGGGAGGACGCAGUGGAGAAUAUUGGAGGAGGGGGGAAAGGCUGAUACAGCAAUGCCGGGUGUGUGAAGAAGGUCUUAGGAUUGUAAAGCGAUUUAAGUUGGGAGGAAGGAAAGUAAGUUAAUACCUUGCUGUUUUGACGUUACCAACAGAAUAAGCACCGGCUAACUUCGUG
rnacentral:rRNA from 1 species